UACGUAGGGUGCAGGCGUUAAUCGGAAUUACUGGGCGUAAAGCGCACGUAGGCGGAUUGCUAAGUCAGGGGUGAAAUCCUGGAGCUCAACUCCAGAACUGCCCUUGAUACUGGCGGUCUCGAGUCCGGGAGAGGUGAGUGGAACUGCGAGUGUAGAGGUGAAAUUCGUAGAUAUUCGCAAGAACACCAGUGGCGAAGGCGGCUCACUGGCCCGGUACUGACGCUGAGGUGCGAAAGCGUGGGGAGCAAACAGG
rnacentral:rRNA from 1 species